ensembl:lncRNA
ACACAUACAACUCUGCAUGCAACGCAAUUAUCAUGGAAUAAUGUCAAACAUUACAAUUCACCACUGCGCAGAUGACAAAAGUAGUUUUUAUGAAGUGAAGAUAUGAAUUAUUUUAAGUUCAGGUUGCGUCACAAUUCUCUCUCUAUGCAUCCUCUGCUGUCUUUACUGGUACGCCAACUAACGACCCGACAACCGCGAAAACAAACAGCAGUAAGAUGGCCGACUCCCGCGCGCGGCAGGAAUAUCUGACAUUCGUUUGUUCCAUCGCCGUCGCUCCGAGCGACAGAGGCCAAUUACUGCAGCAGCCGCGUGACCUUUAGCAUGCAGAUGAGCCACACAGCGCACGUGCUAUGUGUGUGUGGCCGGUAAAUAUUAACGGGAACGGAAGAGCGGAGCCAUAAUGACGCGCGGAUCGUUAGAGGCUCGUUAGGGACCACGAGACGGAGGAUAUUAAAGAGCAACCCCAGGAAGAACAUGGAAGCUAAUGGAGAUCCAAAAGAAAAAACAAAAUAUUCAGUUGAAAAUAGCAAAAAUCAGUCUUGCAAUCUGGCCACCUGGUUUAACGAAGAACAUCUCAUGAAUUAUUCCACCGGACUACACUUGGAAUCUCCCGCCUUGCUCUCCAAAUCCUUGCUCGCAUCUUGCGUCUCUUUUAAAACUUUAUUUCCUCCACUUUUCUUCACCUCUAAUCCCCAUUAGCCUCAUUUUCAGCAAUGGACCGAAUACCUCUACCAGUGUUUUUGUUAAAAAUGACUAAAAGUUUCCUGUUUACCAUUUUGGGUGUGCCGUCUGAGAUCUUCCAUCGCUGGCACAUACACAAAAGCCGAACGAACGGCUCACAACAGUCUAUAAAAGUGUUAACCCCGAGCAGACAAAGAGAAAUGGAGUGUGUAGCAGAGAAGAGAGAAAUCAUAAGUGUCUCGGAGAUUUACUCGGUGUGUGUGUUUGGUCAGCUCUCAGCAGACCUGUUUGAUGUGAAUCUCCGAUCGGGUUUCUUUUCAUGUACACACAAAUGCAGCUGGCACACACACUCGUGCAUCACUGCGGCUUUGAAGGCAGCAGAUGCGGAGUUCUGACGGAG